CACUCCUACGGGAGGCAGCAGUGGGGAAUAUUGGACAAUGGGCGCAAGCCUGAUCCAGCCAUGCCGCGUGAGUGAUGAAGGCCCUAGGGUUGUAAAGCUCUUUCACCGGUGAAGAUAAUGACGGUAACCGGAGAAGAAGCCCCGGCUAACUUCGUGCCAGCAGCCGCGGUAAUACGAAGGGGGCUAGCGUUGUUCGGAUUUACUGGGCGUAAAGCGCACGUAGGCGGACUAUUAAGUCAGGGGUGAAAUCCCGGGGCUCAACCCCGGAACUGCCUUUGAUACUGGUAGUCUUGAGUUCGAGAGAGGUGAGUGGAAUUCCGAGUGUAGAGGUGAAAUUCGUAGAUAUUCGGAGGAACACCAGUGGCGAAGGCGGCUCACUGGCUCGAUACUGACGCUGAGGUGCGAAAGCGUGGGGAGCAAACAGGAUUAGAAACCCUUGUAGUCCCAUGA
rnacentral:rRNA from 1 species